GACGAACGCUGGCGGCGUGCCUAAUACAUGCAAGUAGAACGCACAGUUUAUACCGUAGCUUGCUACACCAUAAACUGUGAGUUGCGAACGGGUGAGUAACGCGUAGGUAACCUGCCUGGUAGCGGGGGAUAACUAUUGGAAACGAUAGCUAAUACCGCAUAAUAUUGAUUAUUGCAUGAUAAUUGAUUGAAAGAUGCUAUUGCAUCACUACCAGAUGGACCUGCGUUGUAUUAGCUAGUAGGUGAGGUAACGGCUCACCUAGGCGACGAUACAUAGCCGACCUGGGGGGGUGAUCGGCCACACUGGGACUGAGACACGGCCCAGACUCCUACGGGAGGCAGCAGGAGGGAAUCUUCGGCAAUGGACGGAAGUCUGGCCGAGCAACGCCGCGUGAGUGAAGAAGGUUUUCGGAUCGUAAAGCUCUGUUGUAAGAGAAGAACGGGUGUGAGAGUGGAAAGUUCACGCUGUGACGGUAUCUUACCAGAAAGGGACGGCUAACUACGUG
rnacentral:rRNA from 1 species